GACGAACGCUGGCGGCGUGCUUAACACAUGCAAGUCGAACGGAAAGGCCCUGCUUUUGUGCGGUGCUCGAGUGGCGAACGGGUGAGUAACACGUGAGUAACCUGCCCUUGACUUUGGGAUAACUUCAGGAAACUGGGGCUAAUACCGGAUAGGAUCUCCUGCUGCAUGGUGGGGGUUGGAAAGUUUCGGCGGUUGGGGAUGGACUCGCGGCUUAUCAGCUUGGUGGUGGGGUAGUGGCUUACCAAGGCCUUGACGGGUAGCCGGCCUGAGAGGGUGACCGGACACAUUAGGACUGAGCUACGGCACAGACUCGUACGGGAGGCAGCAGUGGAGAAUAUUACACAAUGGGAGGGAGCCUGAUGCAGCAACGCCGCGUGCGGGAUGACAGCCUUCGGGUAGUGAACCGCAUUCGCCUGUGACGAAGCGUGAGUGACGGUAAUGGGUGAAGAAGCACCGGCUAACUACGUG
rnacentral:rRNA from 1 species